AUGGCAAUCAUUCCAGCAAUGCCGACAAGCACCCCUUUGAACACAAGCACUGGCAACACUCAAGUAGAUGGAACUGCCGCCGAUACUGAAGUGAAUGGUGAAACUGACGACGACGCACAAGGGGAUGAAGAUGGUGGGCAAUCAGAGAUCGUGGUACCUCAGCCACCGUACGUUGGGCAGAGAUUUGAAUCGUUCGAAGAAGCAAAGGAAUUCUACCAGACAUAUGCAAAGUUCCAUGGAUUUGCAGUCAACACCGAAUACCAUAGAAAAAUUAAGAAAACUAACGAGUACAGCAGAGGUGAGAUGAGGUGCCACAAGGCACGGAGGAACAAGAAGGGGAAAGGUGUUGCGCCUGUUGUUCCGGAACGAAAGAGAGGUAUCAUUCUCAAGACUGAAUGCCCUGUCCGGUGUAAGCUAAACGUAGAUGGUACACAGUGGGUGGUUACUGAAUAUUUUGACGAGCACAACCACAAACUCAUAAAGAAGUUCGACCUGGUAAAAUUUCUGACAGCCGACAGAGGGUUCACCCCCGUCGAAAGGCAAUUCGUAAAGCUACUACAUGAUUGUAACAUCGGUCCAUCGAGAAUGGUCCAGAUACUAUCGCUCAUCCACAGCAAAAAGGGGACUCUGAGUAGCAUGUCAUACAUACCAACUGACGUCACAAAACUACAAGCCAAAUACCGUAGAGAGAGCAAGUUGGCUAACAUAGAGGCCACAAUGGCCUACUUCGAUGCGAAAGAGAAGGAAGAUCCAGAUUUCUUCUACAGGAUAAGGUUGGACGAUGAGGACCAUGUUAGGAACAUUGUAUUGGGUGGAUGGUGCUGCAAGGAGAGCCUACAAACAUUUCCGAGAUUGCAUUUCAUUCGACACGACUCAUUGCAGUUCGGCUGCGGGCUCGUUUGGAAUGAAGACAUGGAAGGGUACGUUUGGCUAUUCAAGACCUUCUUGGAGUGCAUGGAUGGACUUGCUCCGAUGAACAUAAUAACAGACCAGGAUUUCAGCAUGCGUGCAGGCAUAGAGGGGGUCUUUCCGUUAGCAGUGCACAUGCACUGCAGGUGGCACAUUAUAAAGAAGGCUGAGGAGACGCUAGAACCAUUCUUUGCUGACCGUCCAGAGCUCCACAAGGCAUUCGAGCUGUGCGUGGACCACAGCUUGACGGUGGAGGCGUUUGGAAGGAGCUGGAUGGCCAUGAUUGAAACAUAUCAAGUCCAAGACAACGAGACGCUUGCUAGCAUGUGGGAGAAGCGAAUGUACUGGGUGCCGGCCUACUUCAUGCAGUGCUUCUUCCCCUUUCUGCAGACUACGCAGCGCAGCGAGGGGUUCAAUGCUGUUUUGAAGCGGUACGUGAGCCCUGGCAACUCAUUGCUACAGUUUGCCAAGCAGUACACAGCUUUGCAACAAAAAAUUCUGGGAUCUGAGCUACAGCAAGAAGCUACCACCACGCUAAAGCAGCCGAGAUUGCUAACGUACUUACCGAUUGAGAGGCAAAUGAGCAAGAUAUACACAAACAAGAUCUUUAACAAUGCAGUGGCCAUGUUUAAUGCACUGUGCUUCCCUUGGGGCAUGUUGGAAUGA
rnacentral:rRNA from 1 species